CACACACACGCACACACGUACGUAUAAUCCCUUAUAUUAUAUUCAGACAGCUCAUAUUACUGUAGUUAAUAUAAAGUCCUUCUCUGGUCAGGUUCUGAUAGCUCAGGGAAGAGACCCUUCCUAGUUGCUGCAGUGUCUGGGGCUGCUGUGUGUUCUACUGGCUGGGAUCAUAGGCCUGUCAGUCUCCUGUAAGUUUGACAAGUACAAUUGUGCUUGUCAUUUAUUUCUAGGUAACAAGUAUGAAAUGGUUUAGAAAGCAACCAUUGCUUCAUUUGUUUUUAGAUCCCGUUCACAUUGCCAACCUAUAGACUGACAAAGACAAUCUUAAGAAUUUUCUUUCUGGUCAAUGAGUAUAUUUAUUUUCUUUGUAGAAUAUUGAUUAAAUUCAUUGUGAUUUCACCUUGUAAAUAACUGUGUUUUUCUGUUCACCUUUUUGGUCUCUGGAUACGCUGCUAAUAUGUUCAACAACAGAUCUGUUAGUUUAAAAAAUAUUUUAAAAUUAUCACAUUUCCCUAUGUAAUAAACAUCAAUAGAUAAUAUGGAGCGACUGCAGUUCUGGAAUUUAUGGAACCCAAUUUGCUGUUGCUAAAAAAUAGGGAUUUUUGCUGCUUGGUGACUCCACUGCCGCUUGUACACAUAACAGCUUGAACAAACGUAGGUCUUUGUCUGUUGGAACAGUAGGCCAUUGCAAACAUAAGUAUGACACAAACAGUUUGUCUAGCAAUUUCAUUUUUUCAGGAGGGGAAUAAUAUGCAGCUACUUAGGCAAUCUUUGUGUAGUUUACACAGUAUAUCAAACAUACAAGAAACAGACAGGCAGUCAAUAGCGAUUGUAAUGUUAUUCUUUCAUCGUCAUCAUUGUAAGCAUUGGCUGAACAGAAGGCAGACUGCUGGCUAUAUGUCAGCAUAACUAUAAUGCUUACAUCUCACACAAAACGCUACUUGUUUUGCCCCAGUGCAAUCUGAAGACUGCGUCCUGUUUGUGCUAGCUGUGGCAAUAUCCACUACAACAGACAGAAUGAUGUAGCCUUCAAAUAUAUAUUUAGAACGUCAUGCAUUUUGGGAAAGUUCGUUCAAAUUUCAACUGAUCAGAAAUAUGAGGCAGAGACAUAGGCUACAUCAUCAUAUGAUCAAAUGGGUUGAUGGUUCAGAAGAGGUUCAGUUAACAGCGAAAACCUGUACCGAAGGAUGGCAGAGGUUUGGCUGCAGCUGUUACUACAUCUCUACUGAGGUGAACACCUGGGAUUAUGCCAGACAGGACUGUCUGAACAGAGGAGCAGACCUGGUGAUCGUAAACAGCGAAGAUGAACAGGGUCUGGUGGUGGUCAGAACCUGAUUCUGCCACUGGAGAGAAGGACUGUGCUAUGAUGUCUGGAGGUGUACAAAAUAUUCCUCUACACGCAUGGAAUGACUUUAGGUGUGACUUGGAAUUGGAAUGGAUUUGUGAGGUGUUUUUUUCUUAACAAUACCAUUACAACAUUGUCUACCCUCAAACAACAACACACACACACCGUAAACUUCUCAUGCCAUAUUAUGCUUGUGAUAUUGUCACAAUAAAGUUGAUUUUUGGUUUUA